CAGUAGCCGCGGUAAUACGAAGGGUGCAAGCGUUAAUCGGAAUUACUGGGCGUAAAGGGUGCGUAGGCGGUUGUUUAAGUCUGUUGUGAAAUCCCCGGGCUCAACCUGGGAAUGGCAAUGGAAACUGGACGGCUAGAGUGUGUCAGAGGAUGGUGGAAUUCCCGGUGUAUCGGUGAAAUGCGUAGAGAUCGGGAGGAACAUCAGUGGCGAAGGCGGCCAUCUGGGACAACACUGACGCUGAAGCACGAAAGCGUGGGGAGCAAACAGGAUUAGAUACCCCCGUAGUCCCUGUCUCUUAUAC
rnacentral:rRNA from 1 species